GACGAACGCUGGCGGCGUGCUUAACACAUGCAAGUCGAACGGUAAGGCCCUUCGGGGUACACGAGUGGCGAACGGGUGAGUAACACGUGGGUGAUCUGCCCUGCACUUCGGGAUAAGCCUGGGAAACUGGGUCUAAUACCGGAUAGGACACUGCCUGCAUGGGUGGUGGUGGAAAGCUUUUGCGGUGUGGGAUGGGCCCGCGGCUUAUCAGCUUGUUGGUGGGGUGAUGGCCUACCAAGGCGACGACGGGUAGCCGGCCUGCGAGGGUGACCGGCCACACUGGGACUGAGAUACGGCCCAGACUCCUCCGGGAGGCAGCAGUGGGGAAUAUUGCACAAUGGGCGCAAGCCUGGUGCAGGGACGCCGCGUGAGGGAUGACGGCCUUCCGGUUGUAAACCUCUUUCAGCACCGACGAAGCGCAAGUGACGGUAGGUGCAGAAGAAGGACCGGCCAACUACGUGCCAGCCGCCGCGGUAA
rnacentral:rRNA from 1 species